rnacentral:rRNA from 1 species
GAUGAACGCUGGCGGCGUGCCUAAUACAUGCAAGUCGAGCGAACAGACGAGGAGCUUGCUCCUCUGACGUUAGCGGCGGACGGGUGAGUAACACGUGGAUAACCUACCUAUAAGACUGUGAUAACUUCGGGAAACCGGAGCUAAUACCGGAUAAUAUAUUGAACCGCAUGGUUCAAUAGUGAAAGACGGUUUUGCUGUCACUUAUAGAUGGAUCCGCGCCGCAUUAGCUAGUUGGUAAGGUAACGGCUUACCAAGGCAACGAUGCGUAGCCGACCUGAGAGGGUGAUCGGCCACACUGGAACUGAGACACGGUCCAGACUCCUACGGGAGGAAGCAGUAGGGAAUCUUCCGCAAUGGGCGAAAGCCUGACGGAGCAAAGCCGCGUGAGUGAUGAAGGUCUUCGGAUCGUAAAACUCUGUUAUUAGGGAAGAACAAAUGUGUAAGUAACUAUGCACGUCUUGACGGUACCUAAUCAGAAAGCCACGGCUAACUAAGUG